UUUUGAUACAAGGUGCACCAUUUUAUGGCAAAAUACUAUCCCACCAGUUUUCUUUUCACCAACCAAAUGUCCGAUAAGUCACAAAUAAAAGGGAAAAUAAAACCCAGCGGCAAAACCAUAAUGUUUUCAAGUCUCAAAGUGCCUCUUGCACAGAGCCCUCGACCUGUGCAACAGGAGAAAGAAAGGGCCUAAUCAGCCUCCUUCGCAACCGUCGAUUCUACAGAGAAUGGCUGACGCCUCAAAUAUCCGCCGUCCAUUACUACCCCGAGAUCAACAAACCAAAAUCAUGCAGCACGAUAAUGGGUGCUUAAGGCUCUCAUCCUCUGACUUAUGGAACUUCCUCUGCGUCAAUCUCCUCUUUUCUUCCUCAAAUCGAACGGCUAUCAACGCAAACGCACAGUGCCUUCUCCUCCCCUCCGAUUCUGAUGGUGAAAUUCCGGCAGAAGUCUCCGCCAAAUCUGCCGAAAUUCAGAGUUGUCCGGCGCCGGAUCCGGCGCUGUAUUAUCAGCCUGUGAUCGGAAUCCUGACACAUCCCGGCGACGGUGCGAGCGGAAGGCUGAUGAACGGUUCGCAUGUGUCCUAUAUCGCGGCGUCAUAUGUCAAGUUUUGUGAGGCGGCAGGUGCUCGUGUGAUUCCCCUCAUUUACAACGAGCGCCGUGAGGUCCUUUUAGAGAAACUCAAUUUGGUCAAUGGUAUGCUUUUAACCGGAGGAUGGUGUAAACGAGGUUUAUACUAUGAUACAGUUGAGAUGAUCUUCAAGCAUGUGUUGGAGAGAAAUGAUGCUGGUGAUCACUUUCCUUUGGUAGCAAUUUGCUUAAACUUUGAGUUAAUAAGCAUAAUUGUCAGCCAGGACAGAAGUAUUUUUGAAAGAUAUAGUGCAUUGGAUCUACCAUCUACUCUUCAAUUUAAACAAAAUAUUGAGCUAAAUAAUACAGUCUUUCGGAGGUUUUCUUCAGAAUUACUUAAAAAAGUGAGCACAGAAUGCCUUAUUAUGCAAAGUCAUCGAUUCGGUGUAUCACCUGAAACAUUUGAAUCAAACCAUGCACUCUCGAAUUUCUUCAAGAUAUUGACAACAUGUGCAGAUAAAAAUGGAAAGGUCUAUGUCUCGACUACUCAAGCUUACAGAUAUCCAAUAUUUGGCUUCCAAUGGCAUCCAGAGUUAACUACAGAAGAAUGCAUUUGAAUGGGGGUUACCAAAUAUUCCUCACUCUGAAGAUGCUGUGCAAGUGACUCAACAUGUUGCCAACUUUUUCAUCAGUGAAGCACGAAAGUCCUCAAACAGGCCACCUACGACAAGAGUACUGGAUAACCUCAUUUACAAUCACAGUCCCACUUAUUGUGGGAAGGCUGGGAAAGGAUAUGAUGAGGUUUAUCUAUUUCCAUGAACUUCAAGUAGCUGAAAAUCAAAAAUGAGGAAAAGAUGGCAGAAACUUGGUCAAAUAUUUUGAAAUUGAUGCAUUCCUUCUGUAAAAUAUGUGCUCUGAGUGUCAAUUCAUCAGCCCUGUUGAGGACUCUAUUCUUAUUGUGAAGCAUUAUGCUUCUUGUAUGUUCUGUAAAUAUGCGUUGCUGUAAACUGAAUAAAACCUUCUUGAACUCAAUACUUGCAGUAAUGCAACUAUUCCAUAAGUAGAACA